rnacentral:rRNA from 1 species
AUUGAACGCUGGCGGCAUGCUUUACACAUGCAAGUCGAACGGAAGCGCGGGCUUCGGCCUGGCGGCGAUUGGCGACCGGGUGAGUAAUGCCACGGAAAGUGCCCACCUGUGGGGGAUAGCUCGGUGAAAGACGGAUUAAUUACGCAUACGACCUGUGGGUAACAGCGGGGGACCGAAAGGCAUCACGCUAUUGGUGUCGCCGAUGUCGGAUUAGCUAGUUGGUGAGGUAAAGGCUUACCAAGGCGACGAUCCGUAGCCGGUCUGAGAGCCCGACCAGCCACACUGGAACUGAGACACGGCCCAGACUCCUACGGGAGGCAGCAGUGGGGAAUUUUGCGCAAUGGGGGAAACCCUGAUCCAGCCAUGCCGCGUGCGUGAAGAAGGCCUUCGGGUUGUAAACCGCUGUUGUUCGGGAAGAAAACCUCUGGACUAAUACCCCGAGGGGAUGACGGUACCGGAAGAGUAAGCACCGGCUAACUACGUG